rnacentral:rRNA from 1 species
AUACGGAGGAUCCGAGCGUUAUCCGGAUUUAUUGGGUUUAAAGGGAGCGUAGGCGGACGCUUAAGUCAGUUGUGAAAGUUUGCGGCUCAACCGUAAAAUUGCAGUUGAUACUGGGUGUCUUGAGUACAGUAGAGGCAGGCGGAAUUCGUGGUGUAGCGGGGAAAUGCUUAGAUAUCACGAAGAACUCCGAUUGCGAAGGCAGCCUGCUGGACUGUAACUGACGCUGAUGCUCGAAAGUGUGGGUAUCAAACAGGAUUAGAUACCCUGGUAGUCCACACAGUAAACGAUGAAUACUCGCUGUUUGCGAUAUACAGUAAGCGGCCAAGCGAAAGCGUUAAGUAUUCCACCUGGGGAGUACGCCGGCAACGGUGAAACUUAAAGGAAUUGACGGGG